rnacentral:rRNA from 2 species
AACCUUUGGAAACCGAUGCUAAUACCGCAUAACCACGUUGUUCGCAUGAACAACGCUUAAAAGAUGGCUUCUCGGUAUCACUUAUGGAUGGACCUGCGGUGCAUUAGCUUGUUGGUGGGGUAACGGCCCACCAAGGCCAUGAUGCAUAGCCGACUUGAGAGAGUGAUCGGCCACAAUGGGACUGAGACACGGCCCAUACUCCUACGGGAGGCAGCAGUAGGGAAUCUUCCACAAUGGGCGCAAGCCUGAUGGAGCAACACCGCGUGAGUGAAGAAGGGUUUCGGCUCGUAAAGCUCUGUUGUUAAAGAAGAACACGUAUGAGAGUAACUGUUCAUCACGUGACGGUAUU